GUGGGGCCAGUGGCGCAAUGGAUAAUGUGUCUGACUACGGAUCAGAAGAUUCUAGGUUCGACUCCUGGCUGGCUCGAUACUUAAUUUUAAUGAUUGAAAUCAAGCAGGGAUUGAUACUGUAUACCUUUCAGUGCUUCUGGAGGUUCUCACUUCAAACACAUUUUAGACGGAUUUCAUCUGGACAUUCCCCAACAUCUCUGAGAAAAAAGAUGGGAGCUUUUAAAUCAGACAGGCAAAAUGUCAACAUUUAUAGAUUUGUCUGUGAUGUGUAUUUUAAGUAUGUGUCUUCCCAUAUGGUCUAGCGGUUAGGAUUCCUGGUUUUCACCCAGGUGGCCCGGGUUCAACUCCCGGUAUGGGAAAGAAUAUCUUGUUAUUUUGGACGCACUUGUGUAACCACAGAUACUGCAUUUUAAAUGGCAGCAGAAUCACACAACACAACAAUAUUCCCUCAGCAACAGGAAAUGUGAUAUGUUUUGUAGAUUCAUAAUUUAAAAUACUUUUUAACGUGUCUUAACGUGUCUGACUACGGAUCAGAAGAUUCUAGGUUCGACUCCUGGCUGGCUCAAUACUUUAGAUAAAAUUGACUGAAAUCAAGCUGGGAAUGAUACUGUGUACCUUUCAGUGCUUCUGGCUGUUCUCACUUCAAACACAUUUUAGACGGAUUUCAUCUGGACAUUCCCCAUCAUUUCUGAGAAAAAAGAUGGAGCUUUUAAAUCCAACAGGCAUAAUGUCAACAUUUAAAGAUUUGUCUGUGAUGUGUAUCUUAUGUAUGUUUCUUCCCAUAUGGUCUAGCUUUUAGGAUUCCUGGUUUUCCCCCCGGUGGCCUGGGUUCAACUCCCGGUAUGGGAAAGAAUAUCUUGUCGUUAGGUACGCACUUGUGUAACAACAGAUGCUGCAUUUUAAAUGGCAGCAGAAUCACACAACACAACAAUAUUCCCUCAGCAACAGGAAAUGUGAUAUGUUUUGUAGAUUCAUAAUUUAAAAUACUUUUUAACGUGUCUGACUACGGAUCAGAAGAUUCUAGGUUCGACUCCUGGCUGGCUCAAUACUUUAGAUAAAAUUGACUGAAAUCAAGCUGGGAAUGAUACUGUGUACCUUUCAGUGCUUCUGGCUGUUCUCACUUCAAACACAUUUUAGACGGAUUUCAUCUGGACAUUCCCCAUCAUUUCUGAGAAAAAGAUGGAGCUUUUAAAUCCAACAGGCAUAAUGUCAACAUUUAAAGAUUUGUCUGUGAUGUGUAUCUUAUGUAUGUUUCUUCCCAUAUGGUCUAGCUUUUAGGAUUCCUGGUUUUCCCCCCGGUGGCCUGGGUUCAACUCCCGGUAUGGAAAGAAUAUCUUGUCGUUAGUUACGCACUUGUGUAUAACAGAUGCUCCAUUUUAACUAGCAGCAGUUUCACACAACACAACAAUAUUCCCUCAGCAACAGGAAAUUUGACAUGUUUUGUAGAUUCAUAAUUUACAAGACUUUUUAAACAUUGAAUACACUUCAAGUUUGCAUUUCUUGCUCUGCAGUAAAAUUCAUGCAACAACAGGAGGAUCAAAUUAAGAUAUGCAUCUGAAACAGAAAACCAAGGAACUUUGUUGUUGACAAAUGCUAUGACUGUGUACACUGGUCUAGCUGUGACCUGACUUCAGCUUAAACGUGGGGUCAGUGGUGCAAUGGAUAACGUGUCUGACUACGGAUCAGAAGAUUCUAGGGUAGACUCCUGGCUGGCUCAAUACUUUAUUUAAUUGACUGAAAUCAAGCUGGAAAUGAUACUGUAUACCUUUCAGUGCUUCUGGCUGUUCUCACUUCAAACACAUUUUAGACGGAUUUCAUCUGGACAUUCCCCAUCAUCUCUGAGAAAAAAGAUGGAGCUUUUAAAUCCAACAGGCAUAAUGUCAACAUUUAAAGAUUUGUCUGUGAUGUGUAUCUUAUGUAUGUGUCUUCCCAUAUGGUCUAGCGGUUAGGAUUCCUGGUUUUCCCCCCGGUGGCCUGGGUUCAACUCACGGUAUGGGAAAGAAUAUCUUGUCGUUAGGUACGCACUUGUGUAACAACAGAUGCUGCAUUUUAACUGGCAGCAGUUUCACACAACACAACAAUAUUCCCCACGCAACAGGAAAUGUGACAUAUUUUGUAGAUUCAUAAUUUACAAGACUUUUUAAACAUUGAUACACUUCAAGUUUGCAUUUCUUGCUCUGCAGUAAAAUUCAUGCAACAACAGGAGGAUCAAAUUAAGAUAUGCAUCUGAAACAGAAAACCAAGGAACCUUGUUGUUGACAGAUGCUAUGACUGUGUACACUGGUCUAGCUGUGACCUGACUUCAGUUUAGACGUGGGGCCAGUGGCGCAAUGGAUAACGUGUCUGACUACGGAUCAGAAGAUUCUAGGUUCGACUCCUGGC
ensembl:lncRNA